UACGUAGGGCGCAAGCGUUGUCCGGAAUUAUUGGGCGUAAAGAGCUCGUAGGCGGUUUGUCGCGUCUGCUGUGAAAACGCGAGGCUCAACCUCGCGCCUGCAGUGGGUACGGGCAGACUAGAGUGCGGUAGGGGAGAUUGGAAUUCCUGGUGUAGCAGUGGAAUGCGCAGAUAUCAGGAGGAACACCGAUGGCGAAGGCAGAUCUCUGGGCCGUAACUGACGCUGAGGAGCGAAAGCGUGGGGAGCGAACAGG
rnacentral:rRNA from 1 species